ensembl:misc_RNA 7SK 7SK RNA
GGAUGUGAGGGUGAUCUGACUCUGACAUCUGUCACCCCACUAUCACCAGGGUUGAUUCACUUGAUGUGGCUGUCUAGGCAGUGCCGUCUUUCUCCCUCAUGCAUCCCUCCUAAAGCUGCACAUUGAGUAGAAGAGGACAACUUUCGCUGAUGGCAGAGAGUUGUUCUUCAAUCAAGCAGCUGUGCUCCCUGCUAAAACCUCCAAAUAAGCUCUCAAAGUCCAUUUGCAGGAAAAUGUGGGGUAGUCAAGCUUCCAAGACUCCAGACAGAUCCAUAUGAAGUGCUGUUUGUGGCAGUCUGUCUCUCUUC